GUGAUGAUUUAUAAACUGUAUUACCAUUUAAACACGCGAUUUCUAUUACAUCAGGGUGAUUCCCGCACAGAUAUUUACUGUACAAAUAAAUUCAGUUUUAAUUUUCUACGUGGAUGAUUCUAGCCCGUGUCUCUUUGUGCACAUUUCAAACUGGCGGAUCUUCCUUCCGUUUUGAGCUCCUGACUUUGGUAUUAAAAGCACGGAGAGUUUUACUCCCUUUAGGGAGGAGAUGUUUCUGUUUGCUCGUCCGCAAGCUUUGGUUAGCCGACGUGCACGCGCGCGCCCACAUUCAAUAGAAGAGUUGCCUGCAGUGACGUCACACCCCGGUCUAAAGGGUGUACAGUGUAACAAUAAACCCUGGCGAGUCAGUCUGGAAACCCCGUGCUCUCAUCUGCUGCUACACGCCUUCAUUUUCAGCCCAGUGUCGUUUAUGUUUGAUUGGCGAGUCUGUGUUCGUGUAUAUAAUGUUGUCCGGAGAGACGCGCGUCCCCGGGUUAUUGCAAAGCUCUCGGGGGCGCGCUCGGAGCCUUCACUCGGAAGUGGAGCGCGCUGUGAGGUGGAGUCGAGUUCCGCCCCUUUCACGUGACCUGAGUGCGGUCGCUUGACGUGUCUAACAAGUCGGAUUAAGCAGGUAGGUCCAUUUGACUGGACCAGUGGUUCUCAAACUCUGUCACAGUGAGCCUCCCUGAGCUAUGAAAAAAAUAACUGAGCCUCCCCAGCUUACUAAAACAACACAACAAACUGAAAAUCCUAUAUGUUGCAAAAAAAUGAACAAAAACGUAGAAGGGAUUUGAUCAAGAUAGAGCAGUAUGAGUUUCAGAAGUAUUCAUUCAAAAACAGUACAAAUGGAAGCAGCUAAAAUCUUUCUUUUUGUCCUGUUAGCUUUCUUAUCUUGGUGGGUUUUAAGGUAACUUUAAAAUUGCUGCUUUUGUAUUCUGUGUAUAGUGUUAUUUAAAUCUCUUAUUUACAUGGUCUGAUUGUGGCAGUCAUACGUGUGUCAUUCUUUACAAAUGUAUUGUGGUUUGUUCUUUUUCUGCUUUGUACUGUUAGUGCUGCACAUUUUUGUUUGUUCUUUCAGACACAAGAAUCAUCCUGUUUGUGGAUUUCGGUGUUUGUUUCUUUAUCCUUUAUUGGGACCCCUAGCAUGCUUGUGUCAGAGUCACUCCAACAAGAGGCUUCAGUUCUGAGCUGUGAGGGGAAAGCGACUGGGCGUGCAACAUGGGGAGGAAACCAGGGAAUAAAUACACGAGGCGUCUAUGAAUAAUAACGUGGAGGAAAACCAACCGGCCAGCCCGGGUCUAAUAAACAUGCGAGAAGAAACUGAAAAGAGACGGCAGCUCAGCGAGGGAAACUCGAUAAACAAACUUCUCGACUUCAGAGCAAAGAGAAUGCACGAUGGACAGAGCUAUCAACUUCAGAGCCGAGGAAUCGACAGCAGCUGCUGAGACACACAAAGACUCUCCCAGGAUGCCACAGUGCGUUUCUCUUCAGAGCUGCUUGUCGAGGAUUCAGAGUCCGGAGCGACCUCACGGCGACCCUGCCUGACUUCCUGAUCUCGACCCUUUGUAAAUAGUGUAAAUAAAGAUACAUUUUGUUGUAGACCCGAUUAUGUUGUUGCAUAAUGUAUUUGAUUUCUGUUUUUACAUACAAUCCACGGUUCACCGCGCAGCAGCGACCCCCUGUGGCUGCCAGGGCGCCUGCGGGUCUGCUUUGGAGCCAUCAGAUCUGCUUUGUCCUCCGGCAUGAUAGGUGGCCUCGCUGUGGAUCCGCAGUGUGAAAAGUGACGGAUUGGCAGGAACACGUUUCGGAGGACGCGUGUUCUGCAUAUGAUGUAGAAUAUGUGACUGGAACCAUCUAACACGAGUGUGUGUGCUUCUUAAGAGCGGAAUGAAUCAUUUCUGGCGCCUCUUUACAAAUUAAGCGCUGUGUAGCCUUAUUAUUAUUAUUAUUAUUAUUAUUAUUAUUAUUAUUAUUAUUAUUAUUAUUAUUAUUAUUAUUAUUAUUAUUAUUAUUGUUGUUGUUGUUGUUCUGUGUGUUUGUGUUCAGUGGCUACCUGUUGUGGAGAGAGAUUUCUCUUUUUCCCAGUCGGUUCAUCAUUUGUAAACUCUGUAGUUCUCUUUCAGCAAUCAGUGUGUGUGCGUGUGUGACACUACCUGCCUGACUUCCUGUCUCCAGUAAGUCCAGUGACCCCGUUCCUUAUUGUAAUAAGAAGGUGUUUGUGUUGUGUGUGUGAAACUAAACGUUACCACGAAGACUCUGCACAGAGCUGCGUGAAUUCAUCUGACAGGACGUGAUAUUGAAACGGUGGGAUUGACGGCUGGAGCGAAAUCCUGUUUCUUGUGAAAUGGAAGCACUUUAAAAUGAACGCGUUGAGAUUCAGGGUGUUGAGUCUGUUAAAGUUCACAUAAAAAACGUCUGCUAAGUGAUUCUAAUGAAUCAAUUCACGAGAUCAAACUUUUUUAUGGAAUUGUUACAUUUAUUAAAAUCUUUGAAUAUGCUGUCACUUUAUACAGUACUGCUUCUUUUUGUAUUUUCAAAAUGCAAUCGAAAAUAAAACCCAUUUUUAUCAGA